UACGAAGGGGGCUAGCGUUGUUCGGAAUUACUGGGCGUAAAGCGCGCGUAGGCGGAUUGCUAAGUCAGGGGUGAAAUCCCGAGGCUCAACCUCGGAACUGCCUUUGAUACUGGCAAUCUUGAGUUCGGGAGAGGUGAGUGGAAUUCCUAGUGUAGAGGUGAAAUUCGUAGAUAUUAGGAAGAACACCAGUGGCGAAGGCGGCUCACUGGCCCGAUACUGACGCUGAGGUGCGAAAGCGUGGGGAGCAAACAGG
rnacentral:rRNA from 1 species